GCCCAGGGCAAGUACUGCUAGAGGGCUGCCUAUGAUCAGAUCUUCUGAGAACAUCAGAGAAAGACUGUCCUUGCAAUCUACACUACAGCAAGACUUCAGGACCUUGAACUUCAGGUUCAUAAUCUCACAACUGAGAAGGAUCCUUCCACACUCUUGGAACAGUGCACCCAUUGGAACUCUGAAGGUUAAGCUCACCAGGAAAGUUUCUCUCCAGAAGAAGAUAACACCCUUAAUGUGAACAGCUUUUCCCAAAAUCACGGAUUGAAACUUCUCUACACUCACGAGACUCUUAUCUUUGAAUAUUUUCCCUUGGUUAUGCUUCUGUGAACAAUAGACGUGAAAAGGGAGUCUGUUGUGUGCACUUAUGGGGCACACUUUUAUGUGUGAAGGAUUUUUCAGCCAGCCUUAUAUAUGGAUGACCUUAUAGUUUAAGAGAUAAAAGACAAAGACCCAAUGCAGCCAAAGAUGGGGUCAGAUA
rnacentral:lncRNA from 10 species